AUUGAACGCUGGCGGCAUGCUUUACACAUGCAAGUCGAACGGUAACAGGCCUUCGGGUGCUGACGAGUGGCGAACGGGUGAGUAAUGCAUCGGAACGUGCCCAGAGGUGGGGGAUAACGCAGCGAAAGCUGUGCUAAUACCGCAUGUGAUCUGAGGAUGAAAGCGGGGGACCAGGCAGCAAUGUUUGGCCUCGCGCCUUUGGAGCGGCCGAUGUCAGAUUAGGUAGUUGGUGGGGUAAAGGCCUACCAAGCCGACGAUCUGUAGCUGGUCUGAGAGGACGACCAGCCACACUGGGACUGAGACACGGCCCAGACUCCUACGGGAGGCAGCAGUGGGGAAUUUUGGACAAUGGGCGCAAGCCUGAUCCAGCAAUGCCGCGUGCGGGAAGAAGGCCUUCGGGUUGUAAACCGCUUUUGUACGGAACGAAAAGGCUCUGGCUAAUACCUGGGCUGAUGACGGUACCGUAAGAAUAAGCACCGGCUAACUACGUG
rnacentral:rRNA from 1 species